GGGGAAUAUUGCGCAAUGGAGGGAACUCUGACGCAGCAACGCCGCGUGAAGGAAGAAGGCUUUCGGGUUGUAAACUUCUUUGAUCGGGGACGAAAAUGACGGUACCCGAGGAACAAGCCACGGCUAACUACGUGCCAGCAGCCGCGGUAAUACGUAGGCGGCAAGCGUUGUCCGGAAUUACUGGGUGUAAAGGGCGUGUAGGCGGGAAUGUAAGUCAGAUGUGAAAUCCCAGGGCUUAACCCUGGAGCUGCAUCUGAAACUAUGUUUCUUGAGUGCCGGAGAGGAAAGCGGAAUUCCUAGUGUAGCGGUGAAAUGCGUAGAUAUUAGGAGGAACACCAGUGGCGAAGGCGGCUUUCUGGACGGUAACUGACGCUGAGGCGCGAAAGCGUGGGGAGCAAAC
rnacentral:rRNA from 1 species